rnacentral:misc_RNA from 1 species
UCCGCUUUUGGCGGCAGCGGCGGUAGACACGACGCCUGAGCUCUUUUUACUGCCUUUGCAGCUGUCGAGCAUUACUUCCCUGCUUGCUGGAGAAGCAUCACUCUGCAUUGUCCUACCUGCCGUAACCGUCUGCAGGGCCGUGUAGCUACCCUUUCACUACGACUGAAAAGCUGAUCUGUCCUGCCCAAUCGCCCCCUGCAUCACGCGACGCAAGCGACAUAGCGGCCAGCUCUACGCUGAAUGUGGCGUUGAUUGGCGUUUGGUGGCAGCGGCGGGAGACACGUCGGCGGAAGUCUUCUUGCUGCAUUUGCAGCCCCUCUUUCUCAUUCCAAGCAGUGAAGCCGUAGCUCAGUGAGCCAGUGGCAGCACGGUGAUCGUUUCGUGUGAACAUUGCCAGCGCACAGAACGUUUUCUCUCGGUCAGGGACAGGAAGGAUGAUGCCUGUCAGCAUGCACCAGGCCGUGCUGCUUUGCGCAGCACUGACAGCUGUGGCGUCGUAUGAAGAGAAGGACAUCAAGUGCACUGUGAAGGAAAAUAUUGUUCCAAGCAUCAAUAUAUGCAAUGGAGUUGACGACUGCUACAGGAGGGACCGCUACAGCAGUCGAUAUGGCUACUACAUGGAAUCUGACGACGAAGACAGAGAAUUGUGUGCACGAGAACAUCUUCUUCACGAAGUACGGCUCACCAGCCUUGCACAUCCGAACGGCUCGCUACUGCUUUCGUGGGCGUGGACCGCGGCCCCGAGCUCUGUUCUGGCGGGAUACUAUUUACGCGGUACUUCCUCGGACCACACAUUUCAGACAACGCUGUCGCCCUUGCAGAGUGAUUACACAGCUGAUUGCCUCAGAGGAUACACCGAAUACAGCAUUACGCUGCGGCCUUUCUACAACAUUGAGGGCCUAUCGAAACUUGGCAAGGCAACACAGGUUAUCGUGCGAACUCCAGCUACAGCUCCGGGUGCACCGAUGAAUAUUGUGCGACAGUCGCCAUCGCGUAUAAAACACGAUGGUUCACCACUACUGGCCAUAACCAUCCUCGGACCAGUGUCUUGGAAUUCCAGUCCAGUCGGCUUCCGUCUGCGCUGGGAACCAAAUGAACAAAGCAACCAAUCUGCGAGGGAUUUCGAUUUGUCUCCCGAUGCGAUGGGACGCAAGAAGGACUUGAACGUCACCCUGUCUUUGAAGCCUGGACGCGAAUACACACUGUUUGCCAGCGCACGAGGGGUCGGGGACUUCGGGGAAGUCCUUAUAGGGCCCGAGACGUCGGUGACAAUGGGAACUACGCCUCUGGCUCCCGCUAACUUGUCGGCGAAGAGCAUUGACCCAACCAGCGUUAUCAUUUCAUGGCAAGCUGCAAGUCCUGCGCGAAGGUUUUUGAUUUAUCGAUCCUUUGACGCACCACUGCGUACAUGCGCAGUCGAACAUUGCCCCUAUGACGACAAUUUGUACACGGGUGACCGAUACGCUUUUGGCGGCACACGCCUUGAAACGUCGACUGUUGUGCUCGACGGAAGUUCGCAGGAGUCGUCAUCCUACAGUCUGCCCCUGUUCAACCUAUUGUCGUCUGUGAACUACACAGUCGAAGUCAAGGCAUGUGGUGCCGAAUUAUGCAGCAACGAGACAAGCACGACUUUUACCACUCCUCCUUCAGCUAUUCCCACGCCUAUGAUCACAACAAUCCUAUCGAACGACACCAGCUCCCUCUACUUGGAAUGGAACAUCACGUUUCUACGGCACGCGCCAGAGCUGAACCCAGAGUUCGAAGUGACAGUGAAAACAAAUGGCUUCUACAGACUCGUCCACACUGUCGAGAAGGCGAUCAAGAUAGGGAAUCUCAGCUCAGGCGCAGAGUACGAAGUUCAGGUGCUGCUUUCCCUAGAGAGGACGCCCGGAAAACGAGAGUACGGCCGCCCUGCAAGAGCCACCGUAACCACUUGGCCUCUCGUGCCUCUGGCUCCAACGUUGUCAACAAGAGGAUUCCAGUCCACACCAGACAUAGCGGCUGUGUCAUGGAGAUUUCUCAACAGCACCAUUACGCAUGUAGAGGUUGCAACGAACUACAGCAACUGGGUGAAUUGCGAAAACUCGACCGAAUGCGACGAGGUCGUGUUGCACGGCUGGAACUCCUCCUUCAAAGCGGGAUACGUCAGGAUCUCAAAUCUUAGACCACACACGGCAUACUCACUAUCAGUGAGAGGCUGCAACAACCUAGGAUGUGGGGACGCCAACACAGUGGUCAUCACAACCGACAUGUCAGAGCCGAGUGAGCCUACUCGCCUGACAGUGAAUGCAACAGAAGAUGGUUCUUCCGCUCACCUCGAGUGGAAGGCGCCAGACGAGCCAAGGGGUCCGCUGACGGGCUACGUGGUCUCCUGGCAGUGUGACCAGGACCAUCUCAUGGCUGCGACCACUGAUCAAUCCUCUUUUGCCAUCCCUGGUCUUCCUGCCGGCGCCCAGGAGUGCAGCUUCUCAGUGUCCGCUUUCAACGUGGCGACUGACGAGCGGCAACUGCGCGGGAAAUCUGCCACUCUGAUGAUGCCUUGGCCACCCCAGAAUUGAUCGGAUCACCGGGGCUACUAUCGCGUCUUACGUGAGGCACGCUCUGAACCUAGGCUAAAGUGUAGUCAUGACAAUCACGAUUCAAAUAGACAAACGCAAAAAGAAAGAAAUGCAAUGUUGUUGCUUUGUUGUGAUUUAUGCAUUUAUGUUGACGUCACUAAGCUUACUAUUGCUCUAGUACUCGUAUUGUAUUCUUUUUUCCUUUUGCCUUCCAUCCCCCUACGUUUCGCUUAGUUUUCUUCAACAACGUUGCCUUGUAUGAGCAACCAAUGAUCAGGAAACUAUGCACAGUCUUAGCUGAGCCUUCCAGGCAUAAGCUGUCUGCAGAAGUCACACAAGAGCAAAUUAGGAUGAUGAUGAUGAUGAUGAUGAUGAUGACUUAUUGAAGGACAACUUGAGUUUCUAGAAUUGGCUCGUUAAUCUAAGGUAUGACAAGCGUGUUUGACCCACUACUCAACGGUAGCCAAAAUGAAAGCGAAUCAUAGAUAGGGUAUCCUAACACGUGGUUCUCCAAGCUCAGACUCGUGGGCCACAUUUUGCCCGCGGCGGGUUUCCGCGUACAACCCGCCACUUAGCGCCGCCCCUUUUCACGACCGGCAGGCCGCGACUCUUCCUCGCAGCUGAGUCGGUGGCCCUUGGAUUCAGUGCGCAGCCGCGAGCGGCG